UACAGAGGGUGCAAGCGUUGUUCGGAAUUAUUGGGCGUAAAGCGCGUGUAGGCGGCUUUGCAAGUCGGGUGUGAAAUCCCUCAGCUCAACUGAGGAAGUGCGCCCGAAACUGCAGAGCUUGAGUACCGGAGAGGAUGGCGGAAUUCCCCAAGUAGAGGUGAAAUUCGUAGAUAUGGGGAGGAACACCGGUGGCGAAGGCGGCCAUCUGGACGGAUACUGACGCUGAGACGCGAAAGCGUGGGAGCAACA
rnacentral:rRNA from 1 species